rnacentral:rRNA from 1 species
CCUACGGGGUGCAGCAGUGGGGAAUAUUGGACAAUGGGCGAAAGCCUGAUCCAGCCAUGCCGCGUGUGUGAAGAAGGCCUUCGGGUUGUAAAGUACUUUCAGUGGGGAAGAAAGCCUUGGGGCUAAUACCCUCGAGGAAGGACAUCACCCACAGAAGAAGCACCGGCUAACUCCGUGCCAGCAGCCGCGGUAAUACGGAGGGUGCGAGCGUUAAUCGGAAUUACUGGGCGUAAAGCGCGCGUAGGCGGUCUGAUAAGCCGGUUGUGAAAGCCCCGGGCUCAACCUGGGAACGGCAUCCGGAACUGUCAGGCUAGAGUGCAGGAGAGGAAGGUAGAAUUCCCGGUGUAGCGGUGAAAUGCGUAGAGAUCGGGAGGAAUACCAGUGGCGAAGGCGGCCUUCUGGACUGACACUGACGCUGAGGUGCGAAAGCGUGGGUAGCAAACAGGAUUAGAUACCCUUGUAGUC